GUAUAUGAUGAAGUUUGCACUGGGCUCUGAGCAGAAUUUCUGCGCUAACUGAUCGAUAUGCGGCCUAGAAAGCCAGUUCUGAUAC